GGUGGGGUAGCCAAGUGGCUGUAAGGCGUUGGUCUUGAAAACCAAUUGGGAGCAAUCUCACGUGGGUUCGAAUCCCACCCCCACCGCCA
rnacentral:tRNA from 1 species